UACGUAGGGGGGCUAGCGUUGUCCGGAAUCAUUGGGCGUAAAGAGCGUGUAGGCGGCCCCGGUAAGUCCGCUGUAAAAGUCAAAGGCUCAACCUUUGAAUGUCAGUGGAUACUGCCGGGCUAGAGUCCGGAAGAGGCGAGUGGAACUCCUGGUGUAGCGGUGGAAUGCGCAGAUAUCAGGAAGAACACCAACGGCGAAGGCAGCUCGCUGGGACGGUACUGACGCUGAGACGCGAAAAGCGUGGGGAGCGAACAGG
rnacentral:rRNA from 1 species